GUUAAAGCACCGGUUCCCGUACGAUCACCAAGGCUAAACAAAACUAGGCCUGUUCAGCACUUAGAUGCGUUACCACUUGGAAAUAACAGGUGCUAU